AGGGUACACAGAUUCUCCCAUAAAAAAUAUAGGCACACGGGCAUAUAAAAUCUCAACAUGGAAAAUAAAGAGAUGGGACAACCAGCAGAGAACUCUUAUCAUAGUUAUUACAUAAGAUGCUCCUGUAGAUAGGUGUUGUUUCAAAAAUAAUAUCUGUAACAGAGCAGGCCUCCAGUAGUACAAUUUAUUAUUUUUCAAAGCAGAAGAGGCAACAUUGAAAUUAUUCAUAAUGUAUACAUUUGCAUUGAAAAUGUCAAUUAAAAAUCUGGCCCGGGAGUAAAAGUGACUAUGCGUUUUGAAGUAAACUAAAAGAAAACGGAACAGGACAUUAGGAAAGCUCCGGGAAGCUGGUCCCCCUACAAACAGCAGAAAUGAGAAAGGAAAAAAAUAAAACAUGAUUCACGGAAUUCAAAAGGAACGAGGGACUGAAAGCAGAGCAGCAAAAAACAAAGGGGUGCGCGGAGGAGACUUUUUUUGAAUAUUUUCUUGAAAUAACCAAUAGGGAGGCCAGACUGGUUAAGGGGCGGAGCCUGAGUACAAACGAAAUUAGCGUAGGAUUCACUAGAUGCAGAAGAAACGGCGAGGCGCUCAGCGGUGCGGUGCUGCGCGCUCUGAUGGACUGACAGCUGCACCCUCACUUUUGAAGCAAAAACUCUGGAAAAGCAGUGAGAGGACAAAGUGGAGAAAAACAAAACCUUUGAAAUGAAUAACUUCAAAACUCGGACUUGACAGAACAUUAAAAUUAAAAAAAAAAAAGAAAAACACCCACUCACACAGACAAGGGGAAACCAGAAAAAUAAGGAGAACAUUUUCCAGCUUGAUCCAGGAAUCCUCACUUUGUCACAAUGAAUUUAUCGACCAAUGUAACCACUUUAAACUUGACGGGAGGGGCCGGCCACUCUUACCAGUACUCCUUCCCCGAGGAAGAGCCCCUCUUCAAGGACUACAGGCCCCCACCAAGAGAACUGAUCCCGCUACCCAAAGCGGUGCUCUACCUGCUCAUGGCUGCGUUGGUGGUGGUGGCAGUAGCCUAUGCCAUCGUGGGACAUCUCAUCAAGGACCUCGCCAGAGACAUUGCAGACUGUGUGCUGGGGCCCGAUGAGGACGAUCCUGAGAAGGUGACGGACCUGAGGUGCAACAGUCCGGUCCAGGUGCCAGCAAUACUCCCCCACUCACACAGCAACGCCUUCCACGUGUGGGACCAAGAUGAUGUGGUCAUCCCACUGUCUCCAGAGGAGAGCCCACAGACGAGCCCUCUGCUGCUGGCAGCCAUUCCCUACAUCCCAUCAUUUUUCCCCACUCACGGCACACCAGUUUCCACUGGGACAGCCCCUGGGAGUCCUGGGCUCACUCAGUCACUGCCUCGUGACAUCUAGGACCUGAAUUAACCUGCGCACGCUCAUGUUCAUUUUUCUGCUCAAGACUCUCAGUUGGAUUAUAACACUGGUCAUCUAACUGGACUCCUAUUACGAAAUCAAAACAUGGAAUUUUUUUUUUCCAGUCCCUAUUGGAUGGAGUAAAGAUUCUCAAGGCUAACAUUGCAGUUAUACUUGAUCGACAGAGCAGAAUGAAAAAGUGUAUUCUGAAUUUUGUGCUAGCGAUGAAUAAAAUUGUAUGUAAAAUGUUCUGUUUCUUUGUC
ensembl:lncRNA